AAAGCUUGGCAUGAUUAUUUCGCUGCCGUUCUCUUGUUUGGUCUUGUGAUCUGCAGAGAAAUGAAGGAAAAUCAAAGCAUCCUUCUCUUCUCAAAUAGGAAGAGAAUCAAACACAAACAUGUUUUGGUUCAGAUUAUGAAUCACAGACAUUACAUCGAAUCCUUGAUUUACCAGACAAUGUAAGUUGAAGGGAGCAAAAGACUUCUCUUGCCCGGCAACGAUUGAACAAGAUUUUGCGACCCGGUGACCAGAGAUCAUGCUGUCUUCAUUUUGCUGGUCACGUUUGGCUCGUCAAGUUGUGCGGCAGGGAAGUAUUCAACUCAAGCACAUCUAGAGGUUUCGAUGUCAAAAAACCUGUAGUUGUGCCAUCU